UACGGAGGGGGCUAGCGUUGUUCGGAAUUACUGGGCGUAAAGCGCACGUAGGCGGCUUUGCAAGUUAGAGGUGAAAGCCCGGGGCUCAACUCCGGAAUUGCCUUUAAAACUGCAUCGCUAGAAUUGUGGAGAGGUAAGUGGAAUUCCGAGUGUAGAGGUGAAAUUCGUAGAUAUUCGGAAGAACACCAGUGGCGAAGGCGACUUACUGGACACAUAUUGACGCUGAGGCACGAAAGCGUGGGGAGCAAACAGG
rnacentral:rRNA from 1 species